UUUGGCAAGAGUUUUGUAGGUUACUGGGAGCGAGUGUCAGCCUGUCUUCAGGGUUUCAUCCCCAGAGCAACGGUCAAACGGAGAGGGCCAACCAAGAUUUGGAGAGAGUGUUGCGAUGUUUGGUUUCUAAGAAUCCCUCUUCCUGGAGUCAACAACUCUCUAUGGUUGAGUACGCUCACAAUUCGUUGCCAGUGGCAGCCACGGGUCUCUCUCCGUUUGAGUGUAGUUUAGGUUACCAGCCACCUAUCUUUCCCAGUACGGAGUCCGAGGUCACUGUUCCCUCCGCUCACGCUUUCAUCCAGAGGUGCCGCCACGCAUGGAGCAGAGCCCGUGAGACUCUUCUCCGGGUGGGGGCGCGCACUAAGGCUAAGGGCCGAUCGCCACCGGUCGAAGCCUCCGGUAUACGUCGUUGGCCAAAGAGUGUGGCUUUCUACUAAGAACAUUCCACUCCGAUCCGUUUCGAACAAGCUUGCCCCCAAAUUUAUCGGCCCGUUCAGAGUCACCAGGAUCAUUAGUCCGGUGGCGGUCCGGCUCAGCUUCCUCCGGCGUAUAGGAGAAUUCAUCCUACCUUUCAUGUGUCUAAAAUAAACCUGUGUUUCAGGCACGCAUUAACCCGCCGGUCCCGGUUCCCCCGCCGCCACGACUCUGUUGAUGGGGAGACCACCUUUUCUGUCAAUCGUAUUUUGGACUCUAGAAGGAGGGGACGCGGAUUCCAGUACCUGGUGGACUGGGAGGGUUACGGCCCGGAGGAGAGAAGUUGGGUACCUGCUAGGGACAUUCUGGAUCACUCCCUUAUCGAUGAUUUCAAUCGACAGUGUUUGUGUGGGCGUGGUUUCCCAAUCUCGGCCUGAUUGUCUGCGCCAGCUGGAACCACUUAUCUUCCCUUUAUAUGUUCUGUUACCAGUGUUUCUUGUUGUCAGAUCGUUGUUUCUUCUCUGAGGUUGUGUCGUGUGUCCGUGCUCUUCUCUUGUGUGGAUUAUCUGCUGUGCUCCUUCCUACUCAUCUGGACACACUCCCCUGGUUUUCUCAGCACGUUAUGAUCGGAAGAUGCGCCCGAGUUCCUGGGUCGGAUUCCUUCUGAGUACAGUCUGUCUGUCAUGUUGCUGCUGUGAACUACAUUCAUUAAAACCAUCGUUGCU